CGCGGCCUAUCAGCUUGUUGGUGGGGUAAUGGCCUACCAAGGCUUCGACGGGUAGCCGGCCUGAGAGGGUGACCGGCCACACUGGGACUGAGACACGGCCCAGACUCCUACGGGAGGCAGCAGUGGGGAAUAUUGGACAAUGGGCGGAAGCCUGAUCCAGCAACGCCGCGUGAGGGAUGACGGCCUUCGGGUUGUAAACCUCUUUCAGUACCGACGAAGCGCAAGUGACGGUAGGUACAGAAGAAGCACCGGCCAACUACGUGCCAGCAGCCGCGGUAAUACGUAGGGUGCGAGCGUUGUCCGGAAUUAUUGGGCGUAAAGGGCUCGUAGGCGGUUUGUCGCGUCGGGAGUGAAAACACCGGGCUUAACUCGGUGCUUGCUUUCGAUACGGGCAGACUAGAGGUAUGCAGGGGAGAACGGAAUUCCUGGUGUAGCGGUGAAAUGCGCAGAUAUCAGGAGGAACACCGGUGGCGAAGGCGGUUCUCUGGGCAUUACCUGACGCUGAGGAGCGAAAGUGUGGGGAGCGAACAGGAUUAGAUACCCUGGUAGUCCACACCGUAAACGUUGGGCGCUAGGUGUGGGGCCUAUUCCAUGGGUUCCGUGCCGCAGCUAACGCAUUAAGCGCCCCGCCUGGGGAGUACGG
rnacentral:rRNA from 1 species